rnacentral:tRNA from 1 species
AUUUAAAUAGUUUAAAAAAAAUUUUGAUUUGUGGGGUCAAGGAUAUAGAUUUUCUAUUUUAGAUA